AGACGGGGCCCGCACAAGCAGCGGAGCGUGUGGUUUAAUUCGAUGCAACGCGAAGAACCUUACCAAGGCUUGACAUGCCAGAAGUAGGAACUCGAAAGAGAGACCACCUGUAUCCAGUCAGGAACUGGCACAGGUGCUGCAUGGCUGUCGUCAGCUCGUGCCGUGAGGUGUUAGGUUAAGUCCUGCAACGAGCGCAACCCUCGUCGCUAGUUAAAUUUUCUAGCGAUACUGCCCGUAAAACGAGGAGGAAGGUGGGGAUGACGUCAAGUCAGCAUGGCCCUUACGCCUUGGGCUACACACACGCUACAAUGGGUGAUACAACGGGUUGCGAGAGAGCGAUCUGGAGCUAAUCCCUAAAAUCAUCCUCAGUUCGGAUUGCAGGCUGAAACUGCCUGCAUGAAGUUGGAGUUGCUAGUAACCGCAGGUCAGCACACUGCGGUGAAUACGUUCUCGGGCCUU
rnacentral:rRNA from 1 species